rnacentral:rRNA from 1 species
UUCGCCUUGUGCCAGCAGCCGCGGUAAUACGUAGGGUGUGAGCGUUGUCCGGAUUUAUUGGGCGUAAAGGGCUCGUAGGUGGUUGAUCGCGUCGGAAGUGUAAUCUUGGGGCUUAACCCUGAGCGUGCUUUCGAUACGGGUUGACUUGAGGAAGGUAGGGGAGAAUGGAAUUCCUGGUGGAGCGGUGGAAUGCGCAGAUAUCAGGAGGAACACCAGUGGCGAAGGCGGUUCUCUGGGCCUUUCCUGACGCUGAGGAGCGAAAGCGUGGGGAGCGAACAGGCUUAGAUACCCUGGUAGUCCACGCUGUAAACGGUGGGUACUAGGUGUGGGGUCCAUUCCACGGGUUCCGUGCCGUAGCUAACGCUUUAAGUACCCCGCCUGGGGAGUACGGCCGCAAGGCUAAAACUCAAAGGAAUUGACGGGGCCCCGCACAAGCGGCGGAGCAUGCGGAUUAAUUCGAUGCAACGCGUAGAACCUUACCUGGGUUUGACAUGGAUCGGGAGUGCUCAGAGAUGGGUGUGCCUCUUUUGGGGUCGGUUCACAGGUGGUGCAUGGCUGUCGUCAGCUCGUGUCGUGAGAUGUUGGGUUAAGUCCCGCAACGAGCGCAACCCUUGUUCACUGUUGCCAGCACGUUAUGGUGGGGACUCAGUGGAGACCGCCGGGGUCAACUCGGAGGGAGGUGGGGAUGACGUCAAGUCAUCAUGCCCCUUAUGUCCAGGGCUUCACGCAUGCUACAUGGCUGGUACAGAGAGUGCGGAGCCUUGUGAGGGUGAGCGAAUCUCGGAAAGCCGGUCUCAGUUCGGAUUUGGGGUCUGCAACUCGACCUUCAUG